UACGGAGGGUGCAAACGUUGCUCGGAAUCAUUGGGCGUAAAGCGCACGUAGGCGGUCCAGCAAGCGGGGAGUGAAAGCCCUCGGCUUAACCGAGGAAGUGCUUUCCGAACUACUGGACUUGAAUACUGAAGAGGAUCGCGGAAUUCCCGGUGUAGAGGUGAAAUUCGUAGAUAUCGGGAGGAACACCAGUGGCGAAAGCGACUUCCUGGACCAGUACCGACGUUCAGGCACGAAAGCGUGGGGAGCAAACAGG
rnacentral:rRNA from 1 species